GGGCCCGUAGCUCAGUUCGGUUAGAGCGACCGGCUCAUAACCGGUCGGUCGAGAGUUCAAAUCUCUCCGGGCCCA
rnacentral:tRNA from 1 species